rnacentral:ncRNA from 1 species
UAAGAAACUUUGAAUGACCUAGUAAGUUAGUGGGCUGUGUUAGAGAGUGGGAGUCGGUGAAAACCCAUCAGCAUGAUAACUGAAUUUCAGUCAGGAGUUCAGCGGUUGCAAGGCCGUUGCGGUUCAUUUCCGUUAACGAAUGUCCGAGGGUAGUCGUACUGACUACUAAAAGUAGGGUGGUACCACGUUAAUGAGCGUCCCUGCG